rnacentral:rRNA from 1 species
GACGAACGCUGGCGGCGUGCUUAACACAUGCAAGUCGAACGGAAAGGCCCUGCUUUUGUGGGGUGCUCGAGUGGCGAACGGGUGAGUAACACGUGAGUAACCUGCCCUUGACUUUGGGAUAACUUCAGGAAACUGGGGCUAAUACCGGAUAGGAGCUCCUGCUGCAUGGUGGGGGUUGGAAAGUUUCGGCGGUUGGGGAUGGACUCGCGGCUUAUCAGCUUGUUGGUGGGGUAGUGGCUUACCAAGGCUUUGACGGGUAGCCGGCCUGAGAGGGUGACCGGCCACAUUGGGACUGAGAUACGGCCCAGACUCCUACGGGAGGCAGCAGUGGGGAAUAUUGCACAAUGGGCGGAAGCCUGAUGCAGCAACGCCGCGUGCGGGAUGACGGCCUUCGGGUUGUAAACCGCUUUCGCCCGUGACGAAGCGUGAGUGACGGUAAUGGGUAAAGAAGCACCGGCUAACUACGUGCCAGCAGCCGCGGUGAUACGUAGGGUGCGAGCGUUGUCCGGAUUUAUUGGGCGUAAAGGGCUCGUAGGUGGUUGAUCGCGUCGGAAGUGUAAUCUUGGGGCUUAACCCUGAGCGUGCUUUCGAUACGGGUUGACUUGAGGAAGGUAGGGGAGAAUGGAAUUCCUGGUGGAGCGGUGGAAUGCGCAGAUAUCAGGAGGAACACCAGUGGCGAAGGCGGUUCUCUGGGCCUUUCCUGACGCUGAGGAGCGAAAGCGUGGGGAGCGAACAGGCUUAGAUACCCUGGUAGUCCACGCUGUAAACGGUGGGUACUAGGUGUGGGGUCCAUUCCACGGGUUCCGUGCCGUAGCUAACGCUUUAAGUACCCCGCCUGGGGAGUACGGCCGCAAGGCUAAAACUCAAAGGAAUUGACGGGGCCCCGCACAAGCGGCGGAGCAUGCGGAUUAAUUCGAUGCAACGCGUAGAACCUUACCUGGGUUUGACAUGGAUCGGGAGUGCUCAGAGAUGGGUGUGCCUCUUUUGGGGUCGGUUCACAGGUGGUGCAUGGCUGUCGUCAGCUCGUGUCGUGAGAUGUUGGGUUAAGUCCCGCAACGAGCGCAACCCUUGUUCACUGUUGCCAGCACGUUAUGGUGGGGACUCAGUGGAGACCGCCGGGGUCAACUCGGAGGAAGGUGGGGAUGACGUCAAGUCAUCAUGCCCCUUAUGUCCAGGGCUUCACGCAUGCUACAAUGGCUGGUACAGAGAGUGGCGAGCCUGUGAGGGUGAGCGAAUCUCGGAAAGCCGGUCUCAGUUCGGAUUGGGGUCUGCAACUCGACCUCAUGAAGUCGGAGUCGCUAGUAAUCGCAGAUCAGCAACGCUGCGGUGAAUACGUUCCCGGGGCU